rnacentral:rRNA from 1 species
CCGUAACUAUAACGGUCCUAAGGUAGCGAAAUUCCUUGUCGGGUAAGUUCCGACCUGCACGAAUGGCGUAAUGAUGGCCAGGCUGUCUCCACCCGAGACUCAGUGAAAUUGAACUCGCUGUGAAGAUGCAGUGUACCCGCGGCAAGACGGAAAGACCCCGUGAACCUUUACUAUAGCUUGACACUGAACACUGGUCCUUGAUGUGUAGGAUAGGUGGGAGGCUUUGAAGCGUGGACGCCAGUCUGCGUGGAGCCAACCUUGAAAUACCACCCUUUAAUGGCUGGUGUUCUAACGUAGACCCGUAAUCCGGGUUGCGGACAGUGUCUGGUGGGUAGUUUGACUGGGGCGGUCUCCUCCCAAAGAGUAACGGAGGAGCACGAAGGUUGGCUAAUCCUGGUCGGACAUCAGGAGGUUAGUGCAAUGGCAUAAGCCAGCUUGACUGCGAGCGUGACGGCGCGAGCAGGUGCGAAAGCAGGUCAUAGUGAUCCGGUGGUUCUGAAUGGAAGGGCCAUCGCUCAACGGAUAAAAGGUACUCCGGGGAUAACAGGCUGAUACCGCCCAAGAGUUCAUAUCGACGGCGGUGUUUGGCACCUCGAUGUCGGCUCAUCACAUCCUGGGGCUGAAGUAGGUCCCAAGGGUAUGGCUGUUCGCCAUUUAAAGUGGUACGCGAGCUGGGUUUAGAACGUCGUGAGACAGUUCGGUCCCUAUCUGCCGUGGGCGCUGGAGAAUUGAGGGGGGCUGCUCCUAGUACGAGAGGACCGGAGUGGACGCAUCACUGGUGUUCGGGUUGUCAUGCCAAUGGCACUGCCCGGUAGCUAAAUGCGGAAGAGAUAAGUGCUGAAAGCAUCUAAGCACGAAACUUGCCCCGAGAUGAGUUCUCCCUGAGACUUUAAGUCUCCUGAAGGAACGUUAAAGACGAUGACGUUGAUAGGUCGGGUGUGUAAGCGCAGCGAUGCGUUGAGCUAACCGAUACUAAUGAACCGUGAGGCUUAACCUU